GAUGAACGCUGGCGGCGUGCUUAACACAUGCAAGUCGAACGAUGAAGCCCAGCUUGCUGGGUGGAUUAGUGGCGAACGGGUGAGUAACACGUGAGUAACCUGCCCUUGACUCUGGGAUAAGCCUGGGAAACUGGGUCUAAUACUGGAUAUGACUUCUCAUCGCAUGGUGGGGGGUGGAAAGAUUUAUUGGUCUUGGAUGGACUCGCGGCCUAUCAGCUUGUUGGUGAGGUAAUGGCUCACCAAGGCGACGACGGGUAGCCGGCCUGAGAGGGUGACCGGCCACACUGGGACUGAGACACCGCCCAGACUCCUACGGGAGGCAGCAGUGGGGAAUAUUGCACAAUGGGCGCAAGCCUGAUGCAGCGACGCCGCGUGAGGGAUGACGGCCUUCGGGUUGUAAACCUCUUUCAGUAGGGAAGAAGCGAGAGUGACGGUACCUGCAGAAGAAGCGCCGGCUAACUACGUG
rnacentral:rRNA from 1 species